AUUGAACGCUGGCGGCAGGCCUAACACAUGCAAGUCGAGCGAGCGGCGGACGGGUGAGUAAUGUAUGGGGACUGCCCGAUAGAGGGGGAUAACUACUGGAACCGGUAGCUAAUACCGCAUACUAUCGGAGACCACAUAUGGGAUUAGAUAGUAGGUGAGGUCAUGGCUCACCUAGGCGACGAUCCCUAGCAGGUCUGAGAGGAUGAUCAGCCACACUGGAACGGAUACACGGCCCAGACUCCUACGGAGGCGGCAGUGGGGAAUAUUGCACAAUGGGCGCAAGCCGGAUGCAGCCAUGCCGCGGGUAUGAAGAAGCCCCUAGGGUUGUAAAGUACUUUCAGUCGGGAGGCGUUACCGACAGAAGAAGCACCGGCUAACUCCGUGCCAGCCGCCGCGGUAAUAC
rnacentral:rRNA from 1 species